rnacentral:rRNA from 1 species
GAUGAACGCUAGCGGGAGGCUUAACACAUGCAAGUCGAGGGGCAGCAUAGGGUAGCAAUACUCUGAUGGCGACCGGCAAACGGGUGAGUAACGCGUAUGCAACCUACCCUGUACAGGGGGAUAACCCGGAGAAAUUCGGACUAAUAUCCCGUAAUAAUAUCCGGAGGCAUCUUUGGAUAUUUAAAGUUCCGACGGUACGGGAUGGGCAUGCGUAACAUUAACUGGUUGGUAAGGUAACGGCUUACCAAGGCUAUGAUGUUUAGGGGUCCUGAGAGGGUGGGUCCCCCACACUGGUACUGAGACACGGACCAGACUCCUACGGGAGGCAGCAGUGAGGAAUAUUGGUCAAUGGGGCGCAAGCCUGAACCAGCCAUCCCGCGUGCAGGAAGACGGCCCUAUGGGUUGUAAACUGCUUUUCCAGGGAGAGAAACUUACGCACGUGUUGCGUGACUGACGGUACCCUGGGAAUAAGCAAUCGGCUAACUCCGUG